GGCGGAAGUUUACUGCUCAGCUGUUGACCAAUCCAGGCGUGUUCUCUGAUUGUCCCUCCGCGUGCAGCCUUUCCACCCUGCUCUAUGUGUUUAUUUUGUCUUCUUGUGUAUUUCAUUUGAGAACGCACAGAAUUUCCAUGCAUACUGAACACACAGAAGAUUGGGGGUGCUCUGGGCUCCCACCCAGCUCUCCUCUGCCAACUCACAGGAAACAUCCCAACCAGGCCCACCUGUGAAGGACUGCAGGCAGGAAGCAAUCAACACAGCCCCUCUGGGGUCUGCCUGGAACCUGGAAAUAAAUUGCAGCAGCUUAAGCUUUUUUCCUUUACCUCCUCAUCUCCCCCUCUUUACUCUGUAAUAAAAGAAACCAGCACCCGCCCUGGGCAUGAUGGUUCUACGCUAGUCCACCUUCUGGGUUUGCUGCCUUUUGUUUCCAAAUAAAGUCACUAUUCUUUGUCCCCAAAGUUCAUUUCUCUCUCUUUUUUUUGG